rnacentral:rRNA from 1 species
AAUGGACGAAAGUCUGACGGAGCGACGCCGCGUGGAUGAAGAAGGCCGAAAGGUUGUAAAAUCCUUUUGCUGAGGAAGAAUAAGUGUGGGAGGGAAUGCCCGCAUGAUGACAUGAAUCGGCGAAUAAGCCCCGGCCAACUACGUGCCAGCAGCCGCGGUAACACGUAGGGGGCGAGCGUUGUUCGGAAUUACUGGGCGUAAAGGGCAUGUAGGCGGUUAUGUAAGCCUGGCGUGAAAGUCCACAGCUUAACUGUGGGAUUGCGUUGGGAACUAGAUGACUAGAGUUACGGAGAGGGAGCUAGAAUUCCUGGUGUAGGGGUGGAAUCUGUAGAGAUCAGGAAGAAUACCGAUGGCGAAGGCAAGCUCCUGGCCGAUGACUGACGCUGAGGUGCGAAAGUGUGGGGAUCAAA